rnacentral:rRNA from 1 species
GACGAACCGUGCGAACGUUGUUCGGAAUCAUUGGGCUUAAAGGGCGCGUAGGCGGAGAUCCAAGUCCCGGGUGAAAGCCCCCGGCUCAACCGGGGAAGUGCCUUGGAAACUGGGUCUCUGGAGGGAGGUAGGGGCACGCGGAACUUCCGGUGGAGCGGUGAAAUGCAUAGAGAUCGGAAGGAACACCGAUGGCGAAAGCA